CAAAAAAGUUGUCAACUAGUAAAAUGUUAAGCUAAUAUUUUUCUAUAUUUUGUUAGUUAAC
rnacentral:sRNA from 1 species